rnacentral:rRNA from 1 species
AUACGAAGGGGGCUAGCGUUGCUCGGAAUGACUGGGCGUAAAGGGCGUGUAGGCGGUUGAUACAGUCAGAUGUGAAAUCCCCGGGCUUAACCUGGGAGCUGCAUUUGAUACGUGCAGACUAGAGUGUUAGAGAGGGUUGUGGAAUUCCCAGUGUAGAGGUGAAAUUCGUAGAUAUUGGGAAGAACACCGGUGGCGAAGGCGGCAACCUGGCUCAUAACUGACGCUGAGGCGCGAAAGCGU